rnacentral:rRNA from 1 species
UACGUAGGUGACAAGCGUUGUCCGGAUUUAUUGGGCGUAAAGCGAGCGCAGGCGGCUCUUUAAGUCUGAUGUGAAAGCCCACGGCUCAACCGUGGAACGGCAUUGGAAACUGGAGAACUUGAAUGUAGAAGAGGAAAGUGGAAUUCGAUGUGGAGCGGUUGAAUGCGUAGAUAGAUGGAGGAACACCAGUGGCGAAGGCGACUUUCUGGUCUACUAUUGACGCUGAGGCUCGAAAGCGUGGGGAGCAAACAGG